AUUGAACGCUGGCGGCAUGCCUUACACAUGCAAGUCGAACGGUAACAGGUCUUCGGAUGCUGACGAGUGGCGAACGGGUGAGUAAUACAUCGGAACGUGCCUAGUAGUGGGGGAUAACUACUCGAAAGAGUGGCUAAUACCGCAUGAGAUCUACGGAUGAAAGCAGGGGAUCGCAAGACCUUGUGCUACUAGAGCGGCGGAUGGCAGAUUAGGUAGUUGGUGGGAUAAAAGCUUACCAAGCCGACGAGCUGUAGCUGGUCUGAGAGGACGAUCAGCCACACUGGGACUGAGACACGGCCCAGACUCCUACGGGAGGCAGCAGUGGGGAAUUUUGGACAAUGGGCGCAAGCCUGAUCCAGCAAUGCCGCGUGCAGGAUGAAGGCCUUCGGGUUGUAAACUGCUUUUGUACGGAACGAAAAGCCCUGGGUUAAUACCCUGGGGUCAUGACGGUACCGUAAGAAUAAGCACCGGCUAGCUACGUGCCAGCCGCCGCCGUAA
rnacentral:rRNA from 1 species